rnacentral:rRNA from 2 species
UUUUUGGAGAGUUUGAUCCUGGCUCAGGACGAACGCUGGCGGCGUGCCUAAUACAUGCAAGUCGAGCGAACUUGAUGGGAGCUUGCUCCCUGAGAGUUAGCGGCGGACGGGUGAGUAACACGUGGGUAACCUGCCUGUAAGACUGGGAUAACUCCGGGAAACCGGGGCUAAUACCGGAUAACUUUUUUCUUCGCAUGAAGGAGAAUUGAAAGAUGGCUUUAAGCUACCACUUACAGAUGGACCCGCGGCGCAUUAGCUAGUUGGUGAGGUAACGGCUCACCAAGGCGACGAUGCGUAGCCGACUUGAGAGGGUGAUCGGCCACACUGGGACUGAGACACGGCCCAGACUCCUACGGGAGGCAGCAGUAGGGAAUCUUCCGCAAUGGACGAAAGUCUGACGGAGCAACGCGGCGUGAGUGAUGAAGGUUUUCGGAUCGUAAAACCCUGU